CGUGUCGUGAGAUGUUGGGUUAAGUCCCGCAACGAGCGCAACCCCUGUCGAUAGUUGCCAUCAUUGAGUUGGGCACUUUAUCGAGACUGCCGGUGACAAACCGGAGGAAGGUGGGGAUGACGUCAAGUCCUCAUGGCCCUUAUGGGUAGGGCUUCACACGUCAUACAAUGGUCGGUACAGAGGGUUGCCAAGCCGCGAGGUGGAGCCAAUCCCAGAAAGCCGAUCGUAGUCCGGAUUGCAGUCUGCAACUCGACUGCAUGAAGUCGGAAUCGCUAGUAAUCGCGGGUCAGCAUGCCGCGGUGAAUACGUUCCCGGGUCUU
rnacentral:rRNA from 1 species